rnacentral:lncRNA from 1 species
UAUUUUUAUAGAUACUUCUUGAGCAAGUGUUUCUUACUAAACAAGUGGUAUAUUGAGAGGAAAUGUAGUGGUUACAGAAAAAUAAAAUAAAAUUGGAAUUUUGAAGGCAUUAUAAGGGAAGUGAAAUUACUGUCGCAGUGAAAUAUUUAUUAUAAAGCUUAUCAAUAGAAAUUUCAUAAACAAUUUUAAAUAUGUGAAAUAUUUAUUAGGUACAGGUGUGGACAAAAUAAGGCCAGGAUACAAUUUUAUUUCAGGUUGCUGCCCUGUUAAUGAAGAUGUUUUUGGAAGUGAAAUUACUGUAGCAGUUAACUUUGUUUUGUUCUUGACAUCUCUAAGGUUUUGCAUUUUUAGCUGUACUAAAUAUUUUAUGCAUUUUGUUUUUUGAAGUUGCGUGUUUGACAAAAUUAAUGGCGAUCAUUUGUUUGUUUCUGGUUUUGUUUUGAACCUUACACUAGUUCUUGAAUAAUUUGUCUGCUGCUUAUAAAUAGAGGAUAAACGUAGCAAGUCACAUUCUGGUUAUUGGAGGAUGUUGAAAUUGAUGAAGAAGUUGAUGUUAUAGUUUCAGAAUGGAUGGGUUACUUGCUUCUCUAUGAGGU